rnacentral:rRNA from 1 species
AUACGGAGGGUGCAAGCGUUACUCGGAAUCACUGGGCGUAAAGCGCGCGCAGGCGGCUAUUUAAGUUGGAUGUGAAAGCCUAUGGCUCAACCAUAGAACUGCAUCCAAAACUAUUUAGCUAGAGUGUGGGAGAGGAAGAUGGAAUUAGUUGUGUAGGGGUAAAAUCCGUAGAGAUAACUAGGAAUACCAAAAGCGAAGGCAAUCUUCUGGAACACUACUGACGCUGAGGCGCGAAAGGGUGGGGAGCAAACAGGAUUAGAAACCCCUGUAGUCC